rnacentral:misc_RNA from 1 species
AUAUAAUACAAAGUUGAAAACCAAAACAGAUAAAGUUUCGAUAAAAAAAGUCCCCACUCUUCUACUGCUUGUCGAUCAAGAAGUAACUCCAAGAAACAUACAACAUAGAUGAGAAAUGUUUGUUCAAACUUUACUGCAAAAAACACUAGAUUUUUUUACAGAGGAAAAGAUGAAUGAAAUUAAAAUGGAGGUUUGAUUUUCUUUGGUUUUCUCUUAGUUUCUUACGGACAAAGAAAGAAAAGAAUAGGAGUGAGUGUAUGGUGGUCGUGAAACCAGAGGAGUAAAGUGUAAAAUAGGAAAACUCACUCUUAGCUGUGAAAAAGACAACGAAGUGCACCUCAAACUUAAGCCUAAUGAGAAGCACAAAAUUAGAGCUAAAUGCAAAAGAAAA